rnacentral:rRNA from 1 species
GAUGAACGCUGGCGGCGUGCCUAAUACAUGCAAGUCGAGCGAACGGACGAGAAGCUUGCUUCUCUGAUGUUAGCGGCGGACGGGUGAGUAACACGUGGAUAACCUACCUAUAAGACUGGGAUAACUUCGGGAAACCGUAGCUAAUACCGGAUAAUAUUUUGAACCGCAUGGUUCAAAAGUGAAAGACGGUCUUGCUGUCACUUAUAGAUGGAUCCGCGCUGCAUUAGCUAGUUGGUAAGGUAACGGCUUACCAAGGCAACGAUGCAUAGCCGACCUGAGAGGGUGAUCGGCCACACUGGAACUGAGACACGGUCCAGACUCCUACGGGAGGCAGCAGUAGGGAAUCUUCCGCAAUGGGCGAAAGCCUGACGGAGCAACGCCGCGUGAGUGAUGAAGGUCUUCGGCUCGUAAAACUCUGUUAUUAGGGAAGAACAUAUGUGUAAGUAACUGUGCACAUAUUGACGGUACCUAAUCAGAAAGCCACGGCUAACUCCGUG